UGGCUGGCUAGGGGAUGGGUGAGGGGGGUGGCUGGCCAGCUAAUGGGAAGAUGGAGGGAUGAAUGACAUCCAUAAUGAGCUGCAGGCUAGGUCUGCUCCAGCGCACUCUCUGCUUCUGCAUCAUAGAAAGAUCUUCAGGCCUGUGGGCCUGAUAGGAGCACUGAGCCACGACCCCUGACUUUUCUUACGACCCUCCUGGACUCUGGAAUGCAUUCAACCCUUCUCGACUUCUCAGAACCCCUUCGCACCCGGGUCAAUCCUUGGCUUUUUCCUUCCCAAACCAUCAUACAUUUGGUUCCCCAAGGUGCCACCCCAACCAACCCUGUCUUUCACCAGCAUCGGUGCGGAAGCCCAGAGAGUUACUUUCCUAGCAGCCAACCCCUCCUUGGAGCUACCUCGGGGCCCAACGGCCUGUUCCCUGGAGCAGGGGCUCAUAGAGGCAUGCAGAGGCUGGUGGCAGUGUCCCCUUGGGCUUUAUUGUCACAGCCCUCCCUCAGGCCCUGCUCUGGGCCCGUUCCAGAUGCCAGGCGAGCUGGGCCAGCCGUCUCGGCAGGAGUGGGCAUGUCUACUCAGAACAGCUCGGGGAUAAUGUAGUCGCUGUGGACACCGUCAAUCAACCCUUCCCCGUUGUUGUGGACAAACCAGCAGGCGACCUUGGUGCCGAAGCUGACAUCCUUCCUGUAGUCUUUCUGGGAGCCCCUGGGAAAAAGGAAAGAGACACUGUGACACACAGGGUGGACCAGACAGCUGCUAGGCUCGUGGACUUAAGGCAGGAAAAGGGUGUGAAGUUGCUAAUUCUUAGAGUCUAGAACUCUUUGGACAAGAAAGAGAUCAAAUGAUUAACUCCUUCUAGGGGGCCGAGUUUGGCCUUUUCCUGAUUAGGAGGGGCCUGGAGGGGGCCCAGGACCCCGGAGGGAAACAAGGGUAGGUACCCCACAGGAGACAAGAGCCUGCCGGGCCAGUGUGCGUGGAAGGAGAGGGCUCUCUCCUCCUGUCUUGUUACUGGGCAGGGGGAGGAUGCCAGUGGAGUGCCCUCACCUGGUGACCGUCAGUCGAUGGUUCUUCACCACCAUGGUGGCAUCUGGCUUUGUGGGGUCAGAGCCUCGGUGGAUGUCAGACACUUUAAAGUCAAAGGGAUGGAAGAAUUGUCCUGGGAACAAAAACCAUUCACGCUGUCAGCCCCUGCAUGCUACCAUCCCCGGCCAUCACCAGAGGUCCCACGGCCACUGGCCUUCCAGGGUUGAUGCAAAGGCUGACUGGGUGUUGCGUGCUGGGUCCGCAGUGACUGGGACAAUCUUUCAUGUGGCUUCCCCCCUCUACCAUGUGUCCUGAACAAUGUGAAGCUUGAACAUUCCAUACCCAGCAGCCCAUGUGUCUGUGCCGACAUCCGGUGACUGUCCACCACAUAGAAGCCCAGAAAGUCCUGAUGGACAGGAUGCUUCUUCCACACCUGGUGCAGGACAACCACAAAAGUAACCCCAUCUCCAAAGGAGACCACCAUGUUCUUCUUCCUGUUGAUUGUCACAGACAGCCUAGGAGAGAAGAGGACGUCAGCAGGUGGCGGCCAUGAUACGGGGCAUUCGAAUCCAGGGCAUUGUGGGAGGGCCUUCUCCGUACAUGGCACCUAAGAACACACGGACUCUAGAACUAUCUCAGAGGUGUUGGAGAGAAGAUGCCUCAUGCGUGUUGACUAUGUGCUCUACUGGGUGGAUCCUUAUUCCCCUGUAAGCAGAAACAGGGCUGUCCUGGGAGUCUGGAGACCUGGGAUCGAGCCUCAGCUCAGCCACUGGCUUCCUGUGUGACCUGGGGUAGGUUCUGCCCCCUCUCAGAGCUUCCUCAGGAGUGACUGCCCCUGUCCUACCACUAGGCUCCGGGCGACUUGAGGACAUAGGAGAGGCUGAGCAGUUUGAGAAGGUUCAAGUUAACAAGCUCAGCCAGGGAAGGUGAAAAUGGGGAUUAGUGUGUUAUCAGAUUGUAGGUCCAACUAAUGCUUAUGUCCAGGCAGCCCUUCCCCCAAGAUCAGUCCUGUGAACCGGCCAGCUGGCAAUGCUGGCUAGGGCCGCGUGGUCACCCUUCCCUGGGCAGGGGCUGAACUCUGAGGCCUACCGGUCUCUCCCAUGACCCCUGUGGAUCUUCUGUCCUGGGAUGUGUCCACAUCCCUCAAAGGCUCCUCAGGCCUUCGGCCUGAAGUGCUCCUCAGAGACCCGGUAGCGGACCUUACCCAUCCUGUGUGAUUGUGACAGUGUCCAGCCAGCUGAGGGUGCUCUGUGCGGCUCCGUUCCCCAGGAUGAUCUUCUCCGGCGUCACCUCCAACCGGAAGUCCAUGUGAGCAUUGGCAAUGCCCAGCUUGCCAAAGUAAGUCUUUCUGGUCUUGGAGUCAGAGUUGCCUCCCUUCUCGCCGAUGAUCUGCCCGUUAACUGUGAGGCCUGCCAGAGGGAUGGGGCAGUGAGGAGCCAGCGAGACCUUCUGAGUCCAGGUUGGUCUUUAGGAUGUGCCUUCUCCUCCAGCCAGCCUUGCUGAGUGGCAGUGUGGGGUCCCCAAAGCAAGACCAGGAAGUCAGAGCCAACCCUCUCUGGUCCUAGACACUCCUGGGUCACGCUGGCGGCUGAGGGCCCAUGCUGCAGGCCUGCCCCUUGUCUGGACCAGGGAGUGGUGUUCAGAGAAAAACCAUGUCCCAGACACAGGCUGCACCCGGGCCACCCUCAACCCUAAUCAUCUCUCCAACACCACUGGGGUCCUUGGUGAGCCUGUGGCUCUAGACAGCCCCCUCAGGGUGUGAGCUACACAUGAAGAUGAUGCAUUCUGGGCACAGUGAGGAGCUGGCCCCGGCCCCAGCCAGCAGCCCCGACCUGUGAUGGGGUCCUGAAUGAGGCGCAGCACUGUGCCCGGUUCUUCAUCGAUGUUGAAGCAGAUGGCAUCGUCUUUCUGCGGGACUUGGAUGAUGAAGUGGGGGUCCCCAUCCACUAAAGACACAUCAGAGAAAGGGCUGGCUCACCGUUCCAGGGGGAGCCUCCCCUCCCCUCUUGGCCCCAUUGGGAAGACUCCUAACAGGACGCGCUGGGGCCUGGGGCCUGGGUCUCACCCCAGGAGGAGCGGGGGGCACUCACCGUAGUAGUAGGGUGUCUGAGGAGGCUGGUAGCUGGCUGUGGACGCAGAGAGAGAGAGAGAGAGAGAGAGAAAGGCUGAGCUAAACAAGCAGGCCAAGGGAGGCACCAGGACCCCCAGCCAGAGUUGGGUUUGUGCCCCUCCCCUUUCUGCUUCCCCAGGCUCUCAAACCACCCCCAUCUCCUCAGGACCCCAACCAUCUGUCUGUUCCAGAGAGGAGACUCAGGAAGACUCCAGAAGGGAACGUGGCACAGGACCAGUCUCUGGGCAGUGCCUUCUGGGCAGGGGGCUGUGGCCGCGGGCCUGUACUCACUCAGGUCACAGAAGGCUCUCAUACUGAUUGUCCCUCCUUAUUCAGGGGAAGCCACCUCCAAACAGCUGAUGAGGACCUGAUGAGGCUCAGAGAAGGCAGAGCCCAGACCAAGGUGGCUCAUGAGUUGGCAGCAGUGCUGGGACCUGAGUGCAGGUGUCCUAAGGGCCCCUCCCUGGGCUGGGCACUUGGAAAGGCCUCCCUGGUUCUCUCUUGUCCCCCUCCUGGGACACCCGUCCCACUGCUGGCCGAAGCUCACCUUCCGUAUCCACAGGCCCUGCGAGGGAAGAGGAGGAGAAAUGUGUUAGGAUCCACAGACUCUUGGUGUCGGUACAACUCCUACCAACUUGCUGCCUGUCCCCCCGGCCCCAGGCUGUGGGCCUCCCAGCAGACAACUCCUCCCCAACCCCAAUGGUAUAAACCCUGGAGCCAGGAGCUCCUAGAGGCCAGGGGCCUGGCCUGGCCCAGCUCUUUGCCUCCUGUGCCUCCCCCUGCCAACCCCACAUCCCCACGCCCAGGUACAGGGACACUUAGGAGUCCCCUCUUGGAACCUGGUUGAGCAGGCUUGUCAAGCCUCCAGCACUCGAGGCCUUUUCUCUCACAAUCCCCAGGCACAUGCUCUGAGCCUAACUUUCAAGCUAGAAGAGCCUCUUCCUGUCUAAAUAAACAUUUCCAUGCUGCA